ACGCUGGCGGCGUGCCUAAUACAUGCAAGUCGAACGCACAGCGAAAGGUGCUUGCACCUUUCAAGUGAGUGGCGAACGGGUGAGUAACACGUGGACAACCUGCCUCAAGGCUGGGGAUAACAUUUGGAAACAGAUGCUAAUACCGAAUAAAACUUAGUGUCGCAUGACACAAAGUUAAAGGCGCUUCGGCGUCACCUAGAGAUGGAUCCGCGGUGCAUUAGUUAGUUGGUGGGGUAAAGGCCUACCAAGACAAUGAUGCAUAGCCGAGUUGAGAGACUGAUCGGCCACAUUGGGACUGAGACACGGCCCAAACUCCUACGGGAGGCUGCAGUAGGGAAUCUUCCACAAUGGGCGAAAGCCUGAUGGAGCAACGCCGCGUGUGUGAUGAAGGCUUUCGGGUCGUAAAGCACUGUUGUAUGGGAAGAACAGCUAGAAUAGGAAAUGAUUUUAGUUUGACGGUACCAUACCAGAAAGGGACGGCUAAAUACGUGCCAGCAGCCGCGGUAAUACGUAUGUCCCGAGCGUUAUCCGGAUUUAUUGGGCGUAAAGCGAGCGCAGACGGUUUAUUAAGUCUGAUGUGAAAGCCCGGAGCUCAACUCCGGAAUGGCAUUGGAAACUGGUUAACUUGAGUGCAGUAGAGGUAAGUGGAACUCCAUGUGUAGCGGUGGAAUGCGUAGAUAUAUGGAAGAACACCAGUGGCGAAGGCGGCUUACUGGACUGCAACUGACGUUGAGGCUCGAAAGUGUGGGUAGCAAAC
rnacentral:rRNA from 1 species